rnacentral:rRNA from 1 species
AUUGAACGCUGGCGGAAUGCUUUACACAUGCAAGUCGAACGGUAGAGGGGGCAACCCCUUGAGAGUGGCGAACGGGUGAGUAAUAUAUCGGAACGUGCCCAGUCGUGGGGAUAACGUAGCGAAAGUUACGCUAAUACCGCAUACGAUCUAAGGAUGAAAGCGGGGGAUCGCAAGACCUCGCGCGAUUGGAGCGGCCGAUAUCAGAUUAGGUAGUUGGUGGGGUAAAGGCUCACCAAGCCAACGAUCUGUAGCUGGUCUGAGAGGACGACCAGCCACACUGGAACUGAGACACGGUCCAGACUCCUACGGGAGGCAGCAGUGGGGAAUUUUGGACAAUGGACGCAAGUCUGAUCCAGCCAUUCCGCGUGCAGGAUGAAGGCCCUCGGGUUGUAAACUGCUUUGUACGGAACGAAAAGGUUUCUCUUAAUACGAGGAGCUCAUGACGGUACCGUAAGAAUAAGCAACCGGCUAACUACGUGCCAGCAGCCGCGGU